UGUAUCCUUUCAAAAUUCAUAAGCCAGAAUUUAAGGAUGUGGUCAUAUUAGGAAGUGAAGUUUUUAGGACACAAUGAAUGCUUUAUAGAAAAUACCUCACACAGCAGCUAACCUUUCCUUCCUGCCUUCCAUAUAAAGACAGCCCUUCCUCCUCUGGCACAGCUGGUUUAGGACUCAAAGUGCCAGCUUGUAGCACAGAUCAGGUCCCUCUGCAUGUUGAAUUAAUCUUGGUUUUCCCAGAUACUAAGAACAACAGAAAUAAAUUUAUAUUAUUUAAGUCCUCUGUCACAGAUUUCAUCAUACAAUACACAGACUAAAAUGUGUAUUGUAUCUGAUGUUCAAAAUAAUGAAGAAGUUACUGCAAGUGAGAUAAUUAAUGAAGCAGAAGAAGAUGAAUGUGGUUGCUUUUUUUGUUGUUUUUAAUCUGUGCAGUUCUGCUUUGCAGAAUUGCUGACCCAUUGUUUUAUUCACAAUUCAAAAGACCAAAAUAUAGAAAUUCAAUGUACAAAUCCUGGUUUCUUAAAGACUGGAGACAUAAGAUAGGAAAAUGGAAAUUUACACUGAACACAUGUUCAAACUAAAUUCAACUUUAGUUUUGUACAUCAUUCUAGAAAUUCAUAUUUAAUAAUUAAUUAAUAUCUCAGGAAUAUUCAUGAACCAAUGACAAAUUUAUACAUAAUGGAAUUCAAAAUGAAUGACUUAGGCAUGUUUGUGGGAACCCAUUUCAGGUUCCUAGUCACUUUACCCAGCAGGUCUGCAUAGAGGGGAUGAUUGGAUCAUGGGCCUGAGUGUAGGUGUCUGAGAUGGUCUGCACUUGGCUGUGCUGGGGGGAGGUUGUUGCUCCAUCCCUUGGCAUUUCUAUAAAUACUCAAGGGCAGAGACAGUCAGGACCCACUGGAAUAGGUUCUACGCGCUCUCGAGGAUAUCCUGUAUUUUCUAUCUGUUUAUCUCCAUAAUCUAAAUCCUUCUAUCUAAUAUUUCCUGCUACUCUCACUCAAGAAAACUCUAGGGAACUGUGGGGUUGGUGGGUAGCCGUCCCACACGUAUUAUAAAUUUUCAGUAAUGCUACUUUAAGGACUAUACUAACAAAUGUAAAAAAAAAAAAAUCACUAGGGCCAGGUAAUAUGUCUCAGUGGGAUAAAGACACUCAACACACAUUCCUGAGCAUCUGAGUUCAAACUCUGGAAUCCACUUAAAGGUGGAAGGAGAAUUGACUUCACUUAGUUGUCCUCUGAUAUCUACAUGCACAUGUGGCACAUGUGGCCACACAAAAGUAACAAUAUUUUUAAAAACAGAAAGACCAAUUACCGGGCACUUUGCCAAUGGCGUUUAUUGAACAAAUUGCUUCUUUUGGUUUUGGAAGUCAGCAUGUGUGGAAACACUCAAACACAGCUGCAGCAACAGUCAGAUCUCUCCAGAGCUAGAGCCGUUCUCCUGUCUGCACGGCAGGUGCCAUGGCCGAUUUUCAGUGUCCACGUUCUGAAGGAUGCAGGGCCAAUUUACAUUUUAAAGAAACGAGUUGUUGAAAUCUUGCCAGUUCAACUUUUAGAAUUAUACAAAAAGUAACGUGAUAAAAAGGCUUUUAAAUAAAUGAGUUAAUUAGCUUUCAAACUAUUCAGUAAAAUUUUCAUAUUUUUCCUCUUUAAUGCAAAGCUGAGGAGAAAUGCAGGGUGACCUGACAGGGCCCUUGUCUUCAGUGUAAUUUAUACCCCAGUCCAAUGUGACUCAAUCCCUUUUUCUUUGAAAAGAUAUUCUCUUUCUGUCCACUCUGAAACUGAUAAAUAGGUAGGCACAUGCUGUACUGGAAAUACACAUCAUUAUUUUCUACAGUGCCUGGAGGCUUUAUAGUAGCUAGUGUUGCAUUAACAGGGUGGAAGCAUGACAUAUUCAUGUAUGCAGAAUUGGACCCAUGCAGCAGGGACUUUGGAGAAGGAAGAAUGAACAAACAUUGGGAUUAGAGCCAAGACUGCCUUCCCUGAAUCUUUAGUUCACUACUAGGUCUGCACCAAAUUUCCUUCGUUUGUUUUUGAGACUUAUUUUCCAUUGGUUAGAAAGCCUUGGGCAGAUUUAAUUUUAAUUCCCCGGGGACUUCAUACCCCCCUAUUCUGGCAAGAGAUAACAGCAGCAGUGUUUUGUGUGACAUCCCAUUUGUCCUUAGCUCAACUUCAUGAUGUAAAGGCAAUUUUUACAGAUGACAAAAUAUAAGCACCAUGUAUACUUAAGCACCCUCUUAAGUUCACAUUGCCAGAUUUUAAAUUAUGAUACAAAAUAAGAUAUUUAAAAUAUGAUACCCUUUGGGGUCCAAUGUUGAUUCUCUUUCAAUGCUGGGAUUAUAUAAAUUUUAUUUAUAAAUAGCAAGGUACAUAUCCUUAAUUUAACUCAAUAUUUUAGUUCAUAUGUAUAUAGGGGAAUGAAGUGGUAGUUUAUACACAUAUAUAAAAUUUUACACAUGCAAAGUCAAGAAAAGGAUAUCACACACCCUGGAACUGCAGUUACAAGCAGGUAUGAGCCACAUGACCUGGGUGCUGGGAAACAAAUUUGAAUCCUCUGAAACAGAAAUACUUGCUUUUAACCACUGAGCCACCUCUUCAGACCCACAAGGUACAGUUUGAUGAUUUGAGGGAAAAAAAUCAACUACAAGAAAUUGGCUUAUUUUUUUUCUUAACAAGAUAGUAGCGAUUGAGUUUAUGUUUAAUACAAUAUUCAAAGAAAACCUGAUCCCCAUCAUUCCACAAAGAGACAGCAUAAAAUUAAAAAUAAAUAAGAAACCCUGAAAAUCAAUUAUCAUUAAAGGAGAAUUGCUUAGUACAAGUCAAAGGUGGAAUAGUUACUCAAGACCAAAAUUAACUGGAAAUGGGCUUCAUAGCUUGUAGGAUAUACAAUUAAAUAGAAAGGGGAAGAGAAGCCAUUGUAAUAUAGAAUGUGAGUCAUCUCUUGAAGACUUACAGCCCUAGGUAAUCCAGUACUUUAUCUUCAAUGGUUAUUUAUUAUGUGUACUUAGAAGUGUGGAGAAACACAAAUUACAUCAAACAGAUGUAGGCUUUCACCUGUAGAAAGAUUGCUGGUUUGAUGGGAGACGAGAGAUCCUACUCAUGAUACAAUAUGUAAAUUAACAACAAAGCAUGCUAGUCUACCACUAGUUGCUUUUCACUGUGACCAGGUCAACUAGAUUUCCCAUCUUCUAAAACAAUGGUAUUGAGAUCUACCAAAUGACACUGAGAAAGAAUAAAUACUCAAGGUAAAUGAUAAAGUCAUAGACAAUAGCCAAUUCAUUGACUUGACACUUUCUGAUGUUGAAUGCUCAACAAAUACAUAAUUCUUUAGUUUAAAAGACACUUUCCUAGUAAACAAAGUCUAACUAUUGUUUUAUUUUCCCCUUAUGUAACUGACCAAAUUGCUUACUUUUUAAUUAAUUAAUUGUUUUUUUCCAGCCUGAUCAGUUUCCCCUCCCUCUCUCCUCUCCUCCCAUUUUAUCUCCCCAACCUCCCCUCUCCCACCAACCCCCAUCCACUCCUCCUCCUUUCUCUUCAGAAAAGGGCAGGCCUCUCAUGUAUAUCAGCCAGCCAUGGUAUAUCAAUUUGCAGUAAGACUAGGCAUCUCUGCCAGUAGCCAUGUGUGUGUGGGGGGAGUGGGGGGAGCAGCAGGUGACAAUUGAGGUUCAGGGUGUUGGUCUACCAGAGGCAACCCCCUUAUGGAUAGUUCUUGGGUAGGCAAGGCCCUUGAGACUACAGACCCCAGAAUGUCUUUUGCUUCUGCUCUGCCUUUGCAUGCUUACUGGUGCUAUCUCUCUCUGAUAUCUGGCAUGGUUGAAUUGGGUGUGGGGAAAUUCCCCACUGCCUGAAAGGUAAUGUGUUUAUCUUAUGAAAACAUCCAAUUCUCCUGGGCAUAUUUACCUGUGAAUUAUCAUGAAGAUGACUUCCUCCCUAAUCUGUACUGUCUAAUUGAUAAAAAUAUUAACUUAUACAAAGUCUUGAUGAAUAAAAGUAUGUACAAGGAUAUAUUUCACCUAAGGAGCUGCUUUAGAUCAUCUCUCAGGUCAAUGAUUAGGAGAACAAUUGAAUUCUCUGGAAACCAGGAUGGUCCCAAUUUUCUUAAUGCUAAAAAGACACAGUUACAGGUCUCAGUGUGCAUCAUUUGGCUGAAACAAAGCCUUGUAAUAACUUCAGGUUAGAUCAGAUAUUUUGACAAUAACUUCAAAAAAAUACAGAAAACAAUCUAAUGUCCAUAAGGACAGAUGGCUAAGGUUAAAAAUACAAAGUGUCCAAUGUUAAGGUUGGUUGUUGAUCAAAGGUGAUAAAAAAACUCCUUGUACCCAUUUCUGCCCCCAGAUCUCCUGAUACAAGAGGCUAUUGAUAAACAAGUAUGCACCCUGAGAAUCUAAAGUACAGCUGACUGAUUGUCUUUUAUGUACAAAAGUUUAGGUUUGUGAUUCCUUUAGGAUUCCUUGUAAGAUUAACUUUCAAGAUAGACAGUAAAAUUUUUUCUUGGUAGCCUUGGUAUGUGGCCUGCCAGCAAGGAAGUUAGUUAUGAAAAGAUGCUUUCUGUCUGCUCAUGUUCUGCUGACCCACAAUAAGUUACUUAGAUGUAAGUAUAUAUGGGGUAUUGGGAUGACUUUUUUUUUAAUCAUGUAGGGAGAUGAAAGGCAUGUCACCUGUACUCUGUGGGAUUUAGCUAAAUCACUGUAUGGUAUAGAGAUUAGGAUGAACACAUGUUUUUAAGAAGUACCUUGACUUUGAAGAUUCCUUGUGGAAAACAAUGAUUGUUUUGUUGAGGGGGCCUUUUGGCCAUCCCAUAACCUUGGUCACAAGACACCUCAGGCACACCUGGGGCUUUUAUAUUACUGUGUAUUGCACACAAUUCUGAAUGAAGGACUAGAGUAAUGGGAGCAGGUGAUGGUCCCCUUCAGUAAGGCAUGUAAAUUAAGGUUAGGGACCUUGGUAUGAGGAAAUUCUUUAUGUAACAAUCUGUAAAUACACUUUUGUAUGGCGGUUCACCCAAAGUAAAGCCAGCCAAACCCAAGCAGCUGGAUCCAGUUCAGUCACUCCAUCAGAAGAGGCUGAUGAAUAAAGAAGAAAACUAUCAAGAGAAUGGAUGCUCAUAAUCAAUGCCCUUGAAAGAGGACUUUUCUGUUAAUAUCCACCAAGCACCGUUGGAGACUCUGACCCCAGGAAUGCCGCAGGCAAAACAGCAAUGGGCUGCAAACUGCUUCCACCACGGGCAUUCUCUGUCCAGCUUCAAACACUGGUGUUGCAUUGGCCGUUUAUUUCUUCUUUUAUGCACUGGAGAGUCUCCCCCAGGAUCCUGACCCUCAAAGACACUGUUAGUGGCUAGACCUGACCUUCAACUAAGAUACAUCACACAGGUGAGCAGCCUUGGGGAGGGAGGCUCAGGACACUAGUUAGGAAUUUAUGUGAUGACCUUCAGCAUAAUAAAAUAUACCUUUUGUUAUACUAACUGCAAAUAUCUACCCUCUUGUUUACAAGAAUCACAUACUUAAGUCUAAAAAUUCUCUUCAAUUAAAUUAAGUGAAUUUCCAUCUGUUUAUCAUUUAUAAAAUAAGUAUUUUUCAACCCCAAAAAAUUUUUAAGAUAUUUUUAUGACAUUUGAUACAGCAGAGACAUCAGAAAUGCUCCUUUGUGGCCACUGAUGGUUACUGUUACUGUGUUUUACAGAUACAUUGUUUUAAAACUAUCAAUUAUAAUUCAAAAUUCAGAAAGUAUGAUUGAGAAAGAUAUCAAAUUUAAAUAAUAUUUUAUUUAUUACUGUUCUGUGUGGAUGAUGUGCGUGGGGGUGGCACAUGUGUGGAAACUGGUGGACAACUUGGUGGGGUCUCUUCUUCCACCUUGAGUUCUGAGGAUCAAGCAAAGAUCAUCAGGCUUAUGUGUCAAGAAGCUCUUCCUGCUGAGCUUUGUCACUCAGCCAAUGUCAGAUUUUAAAAGAGAAGGCUAGCCACAGCAGGAGUUAGCACACAUCCACCAGUGUGCGUUUUUUAUUUUUUAUUUUUUUUUGAGGAUUUUUAUACAUGAGGCCAAUGAAUUUUCUCAUCUCUUCCUUGCAACUCUUCCUGUGUCCCCACAAUAUCCCCUUCUCAAAACACUCCAUUUUCAAAUUCACUUCUUCUUCCUCGAUAAGUAAUUUUACACUAUAUAUUCUACAGAGUCCAAGAUAUACCUGGGCUCUCAGAGCCUUGGUGUGUGUUGUGUUACAGAUACCCCAUUAGAAGAUAGACACCCACAGUCACGUGUUAUCUGAACUCUGACAACAAUCUUGUGUUGCUGAAGAAACCGCUUGAUGACAGAUUAACCUGUCAGAAUGGCUAAGAUCAACAGAAGAAGCGACAGCUCGUGCUGGGGAGGAUAUGAAGCAAGAGGAGCACUCCUCAUUUGCUGUCCCCUUAUGUUUAAGGACUUCAUAGGAGUCAACUGGGAUUGAAGACUUUAAAGCCAAAAGAGCUCAGGGAACCCUGCAGAAGAGGAGGCAAUGUAUGUAAGAGCCAGAGGGGAUGAAAGACACCAGGACAGCAAAACCAACUAAAUCAACAGAGCAAGGCUCAUAUGAACUCACAGAGACUGAAGCAGCAGGCUUCAGAUUUGAAAGAUGUUGGAAAGUGGCAGAGGCAUGAAAGUAGAAAAGGCCAUUUCUGGAAAGAGAAAGAAGAUGAGGAAGAUGAAGAAGAGGAAGAGGACAGACAGAAGUGUCUAGGGGAUCAAGAGGUCAAUAGGGGUCAAUGUGAACAUUCCAUAGAUAGGCACACAUCAUAGUGAAAACAUUGCUUUGUAUAGUCAAUACAAUAUAUGCUAAUAAAAAGAACAAAGGAAAAAUGUACCAAUAAAUUUUGCUGUAAGAGGAGAGAAAAAAAUAGUGAAAUCCCUCCAGAAAGUAAGCUGUACCGGGACCUGGUGUUCUGCAUACACUCCUUGCAUCUGAUCACUUUAGAGUCCAAUUACUCUAAAUUCCCCUGAACCCAGUUCUUCAUCUCCAAAAUAGACUGAAGAUUUUCACUUUUGCCCUCUUAGAAGGAUUAAAGGGAACAACAUCUGUAUGCAUCCCUUAGUGCGCACAGUAGGCUCUCAUUAAUAGUGUCAUUUCUGCACCUAGUAAGAGCAUUUUCCUCCAUUGUUUGAACAACUAAUUUUAGAUGAAUGUAUCAACCAGACUGAGUGUGUGGCAAGGUCAGAAAAUGUCCCUGGACCACUGUGUCUCAGGAGACACAUGUGAUACAAACGGAGUGGCCAAGUCAUACUGAUGAGUAGAGAAAACACUGAACCAACCAAGGCACAGCUCAGGUUUUUAUUAAGUCUCCCCGGAGCUGGAGGUGCACAGUCAUGUGGGAGUUCAUACUUCCUCUUUUUCUGAGAACUAUUGGCACUGCCAUUGGGAGAAAUGAAAGUUGUCAACCAAUACAUGGAUGACUCAUGGAAGCCAGCAUCCUGAAAAUGUCAGAAAUAAACCCAUUAACUCAAUAAAAAACAGCUGAAAAAUGGCCAUAAGAUAUUGCAGUUCACCAGGGAUACAGAUGGUGGCACAUGCCUUUAAUCCCAGCACUUGGGAGGCAGAGGAAGGCAGAGCUCUGUGAGUUUGAGGCCAAGCUGGGUUACAGAGUGAGUUCCAGGAAAGGCACCAAAGCUAUACAGAGAAACCCUGUCUCAAAAAAAAAAAAGAUAUUGCAACAUUCUGACUACGAGUCUUAAUUAGAAUUCCAUCCCCUCCCACAGGUACAUGUGCCAUUAGAUUCUGACUGGACACAGUAUAUUGGGGAUAAAACUAUCUUCAGAAAGGAGAAACAGGAAAUGAAUUAUAGACUAUGGAGGACAUUAUGGUGCCAAGUGAUAUUCAAGGUGACUGGAGCUAACUCAUUGGACAUCUACAGCAGGCAGUGAGAUAUGCACCUCAGAAUAUGCAGAACUUAGAAAAGAUCCCCAGGGACAGAAUCUGGAGUAAGGAUUCAUGACAAUCUAGAGGCAGGAACAGAGCAAGCCUUGGCAGAUGGAGGUGGGCUUGAUAGCAAAAAUAAAAUAAGAAGCAGAAGUUUGAAGUAGCACUGAAGCCUUAAAAAUCUUAAUCAGUGAUUACAUGAGUGAUCUCACUCUGGGUCCUUAAGCGUCAUCAGUGUGUGACUGUCACAGAAAGGAUAAUGAGUGAUGUCAACAGAAUAAGAUAAAGAGGACCAAGUGCUUAGAGGGAAAAUGCAUACCAGAAAGUUUACUACAUUUUAAAAUGUGCUAUUGUCAAGUCAGGGGUAACACUGAAAGUUUAUUUUUCUAUCUAGUUUUCUCCACUUUACUCCUUUUAAAAAAUGUGGGAUUUAGUUUUAAUAAUAUGUAAGAGUUAAAUUUUCUUAGAAGACUACUCAAAAGAUCUGUGUGGAGAUGUUAUAAAAAAAGAUGAAACAGCACAAUAUUUUAAAACUUUUAGUAAGUUUGUUUUUUUUCUCUAGGAAACAAACAAAAAAAAAUGUGAGUUGUUCUCUUUCCAGAACUAUCUAAAUGCACAGAUGAGCCUAGGAGGGCGUGCUGAGAGGUCCAUGAGCCAAGUUCUCAGCCUGCAUCUGCCAGGCAUGGCUUGUCACUGAUGUUUUGGUUAACUGGAAGACAGGAUAAACCCACUUUUAAUUUCAUAAUUAGGUAACUAUACUCUGAAAUAUCAGGCAUUCACAUAUGGAAAAAGUAAGCACACAAGAAGUCACAAAAUAAUGUUUUUUCCAUGAAAUAUUUUCUAGACAGUUGUCCAUUGAUUUUUCUUCCUGUAUUCACUUUUAUACUGAGGUUGAACCAAAGUUUUCAUACUUCAAAGUGAAUCAGUUAUAGAUAGCUUAUAGAUGAAAUACAUGAAAGUCUUUCUAUGAGCUUAUAAGAUGAUGGGAGUUUUCCAUGAAGAUAA